AUGUGGGCUGUAGAGAGGUAUAUAGGAAAGCUCAAGGGACAUGUCCACACCAGAAGUCAUGUGGAAGGAUCAAUUGCAGAGGGCUAUUUGUUUGAUGAGAGCUUGACAUUUUUCUCACACUAUUUGGAUGAUGAGAGUCGGUUGAAUCGAGCUAGGAAUGAUGGAGGUUUGGAUAUGGAAGUUGAUGAUACAACUCCUUUCUUCCACAACAUUGGUCGAGGGCUGGCUGGCAAGUGCAUGGUGAUGUUAGAUAACAAAACUUGGCUGCAAGCCCACAGAUACGUCUUGUUCAAUUAUGACAACAUAGAACCAUACCUAGAGUAA
rnacentral:rRNA from 1 species